UUCUCUGAUCCAUUCAUUGAGGUACCUGACCAGUUUGUUUUGAUUUUUGGUUUUUUUAAAGAUCUGUUCGGGAGCUGAGAAAGUGCUGGAAAGGAAAGGAAAAUUGAAUUUUGAGUCUGGUGUGUUUGAUCCAACUAUUUUUGGCUUUGUUGUGGUGGUUAUGCGUACUUACUUCUGGAAAUUAAACGAGGAAAAGCAUAUGAUGGAAAUGUAACUUUCUUCUGUUUUCUGCGGUUUUCUCACUUGCCAAACACUCUGUUGAUGGUAAGGUAGAAAUGAGAAAUAAAAAUCAAAUGUUAACUUCUAUUAUUAAAAAAUAAAUAAAAAUCGGGGUAGGAUUUUUUUUUUCUUUUUUUUUUUUUUUGGGGGGGGUGGUUUUUUGAAGAAAGGCGACGGAAGUAGAUGAGCUUACCUGACAAGUUUGUUUUGAUUUUUGGUUUUUUGAAAGAUAAGUUCGGGAGCUGAGAAAGUGCUGGAAAGGAAAGGAAAAUUGAAUUUUGAGUCUGGUGUGUUUGAUCCAACUAUUUUUGGCUUUGUUGUGGUGGUUAUGCGUACUUACUUUUGGAAAUUGAACGAGGAAAAGCAUAUGGUGGAAACGUAACUUUCUGCGGUUUUCUCACUUGCCAAACACUCUGUUGAUGCUAGGUAGAAAUGAGAAAUAAAAAUCAAAUGUU
rnacentral:lncRNA from 1 species